UUUGGUCAUUCCUCCUAGCGUUGUGAUACACUUUCAACGAGUCGGAUUGUUUGGGAAUGCAGUCCAAAAUGGGUGGUAAAUUUCAUCUAAAGCUAAAUAUUGGCGAGAGACCGAUAGCGAACAAGUACCGUGAGGGAAAGAUGAAAAGAACUUUGAAAAGAGAGUUAAACAGUACGUGAAAUUGUCAAAAGGGAAGCGUUUGACACCAGUGUUGUUUUU
rnacentral:rRNA from 1 species